rnacentral:rRNA from 1 species
UACCUAGCCCCCUGAGUGGUAAGGGCGAUUAUUGGGCUUAAAGCGUCCGUAGCCGGCUUAGCAAGUCUCCUGUUAAAUUCAGCGACCUAAUCGUUGAGCCGCGGGAGAUACUACUAGGCUAGGAGGCGGGAGAGGUCGACGGUACUUCUGGGGUAGGGGUGAAAUCCUAUAAUCCCGGGAGGACCACCAGUGGCGAAGGCUGUCGACUAGAACGCGCUCGACGGUGAGGGACGAAAGCUGGGGGAGCGAACCGGAUUAGAUACUCGGGUAGUCCCAGCUGUAAACGAUGCGGGCUAGGUGUUGGGGUGGCUACGUGCCACUUCAGUGCCGCAGAGAAGCCAUUAAGCCCGCCGCCUGGGGGUACGCCGCAAGGCUGAAACUUAAAGGAAUUGGCGGGGGAGCACCACAAGGCGUGAAGCUUGCGGUUC